GACGAACGCUGGCGGCGUGCCUAAUACAUGCAAGUUGAGCGCUGAAGGUUGGUACUUGUACCAACUGGAUGAGCAGCAAACGGGUGAGUAACGCGUGGGGAAUCUGCCUUUGAGCGGGGGACAACAUUUGGAAACGAAUGCUAAUACCGCAUAAAAACUUUAAACACAAGUUUUAAGUUUGAAAGAUGCAAUUGCAUCACUCAAAGAUGAUCCCGCGUUGUAUUAGCUAGUUGGUGAGGUAAAGGCUCACCAAGGCGAUGAUACAUAGCCGACCUGAGAGGGUGAUCGGCCACAUUGGGACUGAGACACGGCCCAAACUCCUACGGGAGGCAGCUGUAGGGAAUCUUCGGCAAUGGACGAAAGUCUGACCGAGCAACGCCGCGGGAGGGAAGAAGGUUGUCGGAUCGUAAAACUCUGUUGGUAGAGAAGAACGUUGGUGAGAGUGGAAAGCUCAUCAAGUGACGGUAACUACCCAGAAAGGGACGGCUAACUACGUG
rnacentral:rRNA from 1 species